rnacentral:tRNA from 1 species
GGGGCAUUAGCUCAGUUGGGAUGAGUGCUUGACUGGCAGUCAAGAGGUCAGGGGUUCGACCCCCCUAUGCUCCACCA